rnacentral:lncRNA from 1 species
CAAUCAAGAAUUAUAUAUGUACAUAUUAAUAAUCGAUUUUAAAUUUAUUUUCAACCUCUCCCACGCCUUCAAGAAAGUGAGCACACACUCUCUCCCAUAUCAUUAUCCAAAGGUGUAUUUAUUCUAAUUCAAAAUUAUGCACUGCAAAUCCAGCAGUAGUUGAAGAAGUACUUAUUUGCCUUUUCCCUUAAUUGAACUUAAAUCAGCUGUUCAAAUUUAAUUAAAAAAAAUAUGUUACGUGGCUUUAAAAAUUAUCUCACUCAUUAUUUUACCCCUUUAGACUGGAGCUAUUUAUUAGACAACAAGAAUAUAUAUAUUUCAUUAUACCAUAAAGUUAAGAGGUAUAUUUACCCCUUUUUCAUUAUAAUAUACACAUCGUUGCUUGCACAAAGUCAAAUGACUUCAUAUAUCUCUAACUUUAUCUUUCAUUUUAUCCUUUACUACUGUACGUACCCGUGUGAUGCAAGGAUAAUAUUAAAAAAUAGUUCUAAUCAUUUUAUAUUGAAAUAUCUCAUUUGAGUAUGUUAAAUCAUAUUAUCCUUAAAAAAACUUAUUAACUAUCAUACUAUUUCUUAAUGAAAUGCAAAAAAGAAAAAAGAAAAAAAGAAAAAUCUACCCCUACUUCGCUUCCAUCUCCACAUCCCUCCUCCUCCCUUAAUUUUUAAAAGAUAAAAAGAAAAAAUCCCCCCCACCCCCACCAACACCACACACACACAUCCACCCGUCCCCACCCAAUCCCACACAUCUAAUCAAAUCUAUAACAAAAAUAAUUAUUAUGUAAUUGUAAAAAUAAUUUUAUGUUCCAUCUCCCUUCUUUCACCUUCCACCCUACCCCCACUCCACCUCCACAUACACAUGCACAUAUACACAUACACAUACACUCCAGUCAGUCCACCCACACAAUCUUUCACCUCUAAUCAAAUCUAUACGAAAAAAUAAUUGUGCAUUGUAAUAAAUAUGUUUUAUAUUUUUUUAUUAUAUUAUUCACAAUAUAAAGAUAUUAGAUUGUUAAUAUUUCCUCCCCCUCCCUAAUUACAUCAUUUUUUAAAAAUAAACCUCCUCCACCUCACCCACCCAUCCUCAUAUAAUCCCCCAUCUCUAACCGAAUCUAUAUGAAAAAAUAACUAUGUAAUUAGGCACCCAUGAUAAAUAAAUUAGUUGGUAAUCCAACAGACUCCGACGCCGGCGACGUCGUAGAUGCGCCGGCACAGGUAAGGGCCCACUCUCACUCCCCCGUUCUCUCUCUCCAGUCCUCUCUCUCCCCAGUUCUCUCUCUUCUCUGCUCUUUUUUUCUCUCGUCAUUGCUAUGGUCGGUGGAAUUAGGAUUUUCGCUGGCUCGACUCCGGCGAUAGCAUAGUGUGCAACAUCGGUCAAACUCGGUUAAAACAGUUGGUGUGACGUCAAACGGCAACCAGUUGCUGGCAGAACUAAGAAGAUGCUCUGGCGAUGUACCAGCAGCUUCUUUUAAACGACUCUAUUUCGGUAACCAAUUUCGACAUCAAAAUUGCCGUAAUCAGCACACGCAAGAGUCAAGGAUAAUAUUAAAAAAUAAUUCUAAUCAUUUUAUAUUGAAAUAUCUCAUUUGAGUAUGUUAAAUCAUAUUAUCCUUAAAAAAACUUAUUAACUAUCAUACUAUUUCUUAAUGAAAUGCAAAAAAGAAAAAAGAAAAAAAGAAAAAUCUACCCCUACUUCGCUUCCAUCUCCACAUCCCUCCUCCUCCCUUAAUUUUUAAAAGAUAAAAAGAAAAAAUCCCCCCCACCCCCACCAACACCACACACACACAUCCACCCGUCCCCACCCAAUCCCACACAUCUAAUCAAAUCUAUAACAAAAAUAAUUAUUAUGUAAUUGUAAAAAUAAUUUUAUGUUCCAUCUCCCUUCUUUCACCUUCCACCCUACCCCCACUCCACCUCCACAUACACAUGCACAUAUACACAUACACAUACACUCCAGUCAGUCCACCCACACAAUCUUUCACCUCUAAUCAAAUCUAUACGAAAAAAUAAUUGUGCAUUGUAAUAAAUAUGUUUUAUAUUUUUUUAUUAUAUUAUUCACAAUAUAAAGAUAUUAGAUUGUUAAUAUUUCCUCCCCCUCCCUAAUUACAUCAUUUUUUAAAAAUAAACCUCCUCCACCUCACCCACCCAUCCUCAUAUAAUCCCCCAUCUCUAACCGAAUCUAUAUGAAAAAAUAACUAUGUAAUUAGGCACCCAUGAUAAAUAAAUUAGUUGGUAAUCCAACAGACUCCGACGCCGGCGACGUCGUAGAUGCGCCGGCACAGGUAAGGGCCCACUCUCACUCCCCCGUUCUCUCUCUCCAGUCCUCUCUCUCCCCAGUUCUCUCUCUUCUCUGCUCUUUUUUUCUCUCGUCAUUGCUAUGGUCGGUGGAAUUAGGAUUUUCGCUGGCUCGACUCCGGCGAUAGCAUAGUGUGCAACAUCGGUCAAACUCGGUUAAAACAGUUGGUGUGACGUCAAACGGCAACCAGUUGCUGGCAGAACUAAGAAGAUGCUCUGGCGAUGUACCAGCAGCUUCUUUUAAACGACUCUAUUUCGGUAACCAAUUUCGACAUCAAAAUUGCCGUAAUCAGCACACGCAAGAGUACCCCGGUGACAUCCGAACUUUAUUAUUUAGUUACUCUUUACAGAUUAGUUUCUUUAUAUUUGUUUUCGAUUCCUUGUGAUUAUAGUUGGGUUUGGCUUACUUAUUGGCGGAUAUUGUUGUGUUGUUCUAGCUGCUAGGCCGGAUAGUGUAUCCUUGAUAGUAUAUUUUUUAUGUGUGCCUGCUGUUUUCCUUUGUGGCUUUGUUUGUUUGUUUGCCAGUUUGUUGGAAAGUUAAGGGCUUUGUUUUGAUUUUUGAGGAGUGACUGUGGGGGUUAUUGACACCUAAUUUUUUUCCUCUACGACUAAGUUUGAAUCCGAGUUUCUUCGAUUUUAAAUAAAAUUACAAUAUUUAUUUUAUUUAGAUAAAAGCUUUUCAAAGUAUUUGUUUGGGUGAUUUUGUCAUUUUAGGUAACGAUUAUAUAGUUCUUAUUCACUUAUACAGAAUUAUAUGAUUUUAAUAUUUAAAUAACUAUUUGAUGAGAAAUUGAAUUUCAAUCAAUGGUUAUCACAAAAAUUGAUUCAAAUGGUUAAAAUUUUAAUAUAAUUCACCCUCAAAAUGAUUUAAAUUGAACAUAAAAUAAGACCAAAAUAAAAUAAAAUAUUUAUUUGAUCUUAUUAAAUCAAGAAACUCGGGAUUAAACUAAUUGUUAAUUUAUUUUGAAUUUUAAUUUAAUUUAGUCGAUCUAUUAAAAUUGACCAUAAUUGAAAUUAAAUUGAUCACAAUUGAAAUAUAAUUGGUCAAUUGAUGUUCAAAUGGUUAAUAUUUAAAUAAAAUUGACUAAAAUUCUAGUCAAACUUGAUCAUUUAAUAGAGGAAAAGUUACAGAAACUGGCAUCCUUAAGACUAUAAUUACAAUAAAUAGUAAUGCUUUUUUAAAAUUACAACUUAUAACAAAAGUAACAAUAUUUUACUCACUUCAUAGUAAUAGAAGAAUAUGUAUUUUUCAGUUGUGCAUAUUUAUUAUGAGUAAUACAUAUAUAUUUGUAUAUAUAUUUAUAUAACAAUAUUUUACUUAAAUACAAAUAUAAUUUGCUAUUUUUCGUAAUUAUGAAACUGUUGCUUUAAAAGUUAUAAUUAAGACUACGAAGUUACUAUUUCUGAAAUUUUCCCUUUAAUAAAUGGCCAAAUUUUGACCCUUUCCAUCUUAAUCUUGGCCACAAAAGCAG